AUAUAUUGGCUUUGAUCUUGUCAACUGUUUUCACAACAUGUACUGGGCAUCUAUCCUUACAGUGAUCAUAUCAACAUGGGCGUUUUUCUCAGGUAAUAUGACCCAGGCCAACCUGACUCAGGAUUCAGCCAUGACUGUGUCUGUAGGACAGAAUGUUGAACUCAUCUGUCGAGGCAGCAGUAUCACUAGUGGCGAGUAUCUAAACUGGUACCAGCAGAAACCUGGCAGCACUCCCAGACUCCUUACAUAUAGCAGUAACAGAGCCUCAGGAGUCCCAGAAAGGUUCUCUGGUUAUAAAGAUGCUUCAGCAAAGACUGGCAAACUAACCAUCUCUGGGGUCCAGACUGAGGAUGAUGCUGAUUAUUACUGUGGCUCAUGGGACAACAGCGUAAGCUCAUACACAGUGACACAUUUAUAA